rnacentral:rRNA from 1 species
AACGCGGAGAAACCUUACCUGGCCUUUACAUUCACAGAAAUCCGCAGAUGAUCCUCUAGUGCUUCGCGAACCGUGAGACAGGUGCUGCAUGGCUGUCGUCAGCUCGUGUUGUGCAAUGUUGGGUUAAGUUCCGCAACGAGCGCAACCCUCAUCCUUUGUGCCAGCGAUUCGGUCGGGAACUCAAAGGAGACUGCCGGUGAUAAAUCGGAGGAAGGUGGGGAUGACGUCAAGUCAUCAUGGGGCCUUACGGCCAGGGCUACACACGUGCUACAAUGGCGCAUACAAAGAGAAGCGACCUCGCGAGAGCAAGCGGACCUCAUAAAGUGCGUCGUAGUCCGGAUUGGAGUCUGCAACUCGACUCCAUGAAGUCGGAAUCGCUAGUAAUCGUAGAUCAGAAGAUACGG